rnacentral:misc_RNA from 1 species
UUGUGCAAAACGGGUCAAAAUUUGGGAUAAAACGCAACACUAACUGAAAUCACGAUCUGUACAAAUGGAGGUUUAUUGUUAGAAACGGAAGGUUACAUAAGCAAGCUAAGCACUGGCUUUCUGGUUAAUUUUGGGCAUCACAGGGCCAUCCAAAAAGGGUCGUCAAUGAGCAAAUUCAAUGUAAAUUAUCACGGAAGCAGAUUGUUGAACGCUGUAAAAAUUGUCAACUUCAUUAAAAAUAGUCAACUAGAAUGGCCGAAAUGCCUAUGGACUACCCAAAAAGACGGUGAUCAUGCUACGGGGAGCUUGUUCACCCAGCGGUGGGUCCUAAGCUACCAUCUGCUUUACUAUAACCGGAAAUUGAUGUGUGCAAAUGCUACAAGUUUAGAUACAAUUGCUUGCCCCUUCACCUUGCUGUGUGAGGAUGUACCCGAUGUCAAUGUGGGGAAAAAAAAAAAGAAAGAAACAUAUAUGUUCUCUUGAAAUUAAAGGAUGCACGCUCGCAGUUUUGCUUCUUCAGUCUCUUUCAGAAUAUAGAAUCUAUGGUUGGGCUUCCAAAAAUCACGCAGCAUGGUUGCUAAACUGUGUGCGUCCGAUGUGUGACAACCUUGAUGAUGGAAUUAAAGGUGCUUCCUCAUCAACAUUUAGAUCAGAAGAAUUACUACCUCCACCUCCUCCUCCAUUGUUAUCACUGUUGUUACUAGGUACGUAUAUAUCAGAUGACUUCUUCUCCAACUUCCAAUCCUUUGUGAUUCUUUCUGGAAUAGUUUCAGGGAGCUGAGAAGCACGGACAUCCUUAACCUUUAGGUAGUUGUACAUGACAACACCACAAAGUGCAAUUGCAUAACCAAGUAUAUUCAGUCCUGUUAUUGUAGACUCAGGAAAUAUGAUAGUCGAAAGGGCUAUCAGUAUCCAGUCUUUUAAAACGCCAGCAACCCUUAUGGUGACUGCUCCAGUUCUACCAAUUACUAGGAAUAUGGAGAAGUUCAAGGCUAAUGCAGAAAGUGCAUUGGAGAAGAAAAUCCAAAAAUUGAACUGAAUCUGUGAAACUUGCAUCCCAGGCUUCUCCAGUAAAAGCCAAGGCACAAACAAAAAGACAAAACUGCAUGGAGCUAUGUAAUACAAGCUGGUGAUGGGAUUUAAAGUCAAGCCCUUUUUCUGAAGGAGGACCUGAGUUAAUACCAGCCUGAGUGCUUCUGCAAAGAUGCCUGUGACCUGGUAAACUGUGCCAACUACAUUAAAAUGAAUUUCCCCAUAUGAAGAGAUGACAACUCCAACACUGACCAGCACCAUGUUUAAGAACACGUCACACCUUGCUUUGUCAGUGCCACACAUAACAGCCAUGAGAAAUGUUGCCACAGGCAUUAAAGCUUUCAGCAUCUGGAUGAAGGCCACCGAAAUGUACAAAUAAGCAGUGUUACCAAACCAGAGACUUGCGGCAAAGAAGGCACUUAUCGGUAUUACACAUGUUGCAUAUAUUUCAAAAGUCAUUUUGACUGGAGAUACAACCUUGAAUACACGAACAAGGAAAAAGGCUACCAUCCCUGAAAACGCCAUAUGGAUCAUUGUAAGAGUGAUGGGAAAUGGAAAGUUGAAGUACUUUGGUGAGAGAACCCACUUGUUAUACAAGAUUACAGCCGAUGAAAGCAAAAUGUAGAUCAAAAGGUACAAGUAAGUCAAAACUAGCGGCUUGUUGAUGAUCAUUUUUCCUGCUCUAACUCUUUGCAUCAACCAAAAGGAAAAAAGAAAAGAAAAAACGCGAUACUGUAUCAGUGUUUGGUCUCUACAACAUCUUGAUACAAAAUAAACGGAACCACAUUCAUAUGCUUGUCUACUACAGAUUACUCCACGAAAUUAGAGAAAUGUAAUACCAAGGCAAUUAAUUAGAGCACCGACAAUGCGAGGCAGCAAAUCCAAUGAAAUUUUCCAGUUACUAAUCGAUAUUUUUCAAGAAAAUGGAGUCUCUGAUCCAAUCUGGAUGAUUUAGAAGAUCACAAAUCACAAGUAGAAAAGAACAAAUCUGGAUGCGAAUGCUCCAAAUCUUGAUAAAAGAUCAUUUAAAGAAAAAUUUAAAAAAAAAAAAAUAGGAGAUUGAAAGAAAACGCACGCCAAGUAUUGGAGAGUCCACAAGCGCAAAUGCAAAUGCAAAUGCAAAU